rnacentral:antisense_RNA from 1 species
GGAAACCCAAACCAAGGAGAACUCAGGAGAAUUGGCGCUCUUCGGUCCUGGAGGUUCCGCAGCUAACAUCCCGGCUUGACCAACUAUCGAGGCCGCAAAUUAAUAGGGCACCUCCUGGGAGGAAAACGCCCAUCCUGACUUCUCAACUGUGACAGUUUGAUCUGUCGCCCAGGAUGGAGUGCAGUGCAGUGGCGCGAUCCUGCAACCUCCGCCUCUCGAGUUCAAGCGAUUCUCCUGCCUCAGCCUCCCGAGUAGCUGGGAUUACAGACGCGCGCCACCCCACCCAGAUGAUCUUUUUAAAUGCAAAAUGCCAUCGACGCAGAAAAUCAAAGAAUCAGCUUAAGUUCCAGAAAAAAGAAAAACCAACCAAAUGAACAAUAAGACAACAACAACAACAACAAAAAAGGCCUUUUGGGAUUUUGGAUGGUAUUGCAUCAAAUCCAUACAUUAACCUGAGAGACGAGAGACUUCUUCAACAUUGAGCCUUCCAAUCAUGAUUUUCAAUUCAUUUAGGUCUUCUGUAAUGUUUCUUAAUAUAAUUGUAUUUGUUGCUAUGCAGAAGUUUCACUGAUCUUUUAUUAUAUCUCUCUAUAUAUUUGAUAUUUCUGACACUAUUGUAAAUAGUAUCUUUUUAAUAUUUCAUUUUCCUUUUUUGUUGCUUAAAUAUAUAUAAAAUAAGCUAAUUUUUCCAAACUAAUUUUUAUAUCCAGCAACCCUGCUAAAAUUUCUUAUCCAAUAAAAAUAUAAAUGUA